rnacentral:rRNA from 1 species
CUCCAGGAGGCUGCAGUGGGGAAUAUUGGACAAUGGGGGAAACCCUGAUCCAGCAAUGCCGCGUGUGUGAAGAAGGCCUGCGGGUUGUAAAGCACUUUCGGUUGGGAGGACUGCUUCUAGCACUAAUAUUGUUGGAAGUUGACGUUACCUUCAGAAGAAGCACCGGCUAACUCCGUGCCAGCAGCCGCGGGUAAUACGGAGGGUGCAAGCGUUAAUCGGAAUUACUGGGCGUAAAGCGCGCGUAGGCGGCUAGAUCAGUCGGGUGUGAAAGCCCCGGGCUUAACCUGGGAACUGCAUCCGAUACUGUCUAGCUUGAGUACAGGAGAGGAGAGUGGAAUUCCACAUGUAGCGGUGAAAUGCGUAGAUAUGUGGAGGAACACCAAUGGCGAAGGCAGCUCUCUGGCCUGAUACUGACGCUGAGGUGCGAAAGCGUGGGGAGCAAACAGGAUUAGAUACCCUCGUAGUC